AAGAUGGCAGCAGCGACCAUCAAUAAUAGUAAGUAUUUUUAGUAACGGUUCUUGACCUGGGGCCCAAGGACAACCAUCCCAGCGGUCCUGCAUACCCACCUACCUUUGUCCAAAAACUCAGCCUAUUACAGACACUCCACAACCUGUCAACUACAUGACAACUGCACCCAACUUGGCAAAAACCAAUGAUGGCACCAGCUCAAACCCUAACCAUAAGUAUAAGUAAGUAAGUAUAUACACUCUUUUGAUUCCGUGAGG